UUCGUUUCAAUUCACGAAAACUCUCGGUCUCGCUCUCUUUGAUUGCUAUAUCUUUCUGUUUCUCUCCAUCGAUCUCUCUCUUGCUCAAUCAACAACAACCUUCGGUCUCCCUAUGUUCUCAUCGUUCUCCAUGAUUCAAACAGUAAAAACCAGAAACAUUCUCAUGUCAUCAAAACCCUAGAGUUUCAAAAUUAGAUUAAAUAGCAAUGGAGUGCAAAUUCAAUCGAAUAUCAUGGGGGCUAUUACCGAUCAAGUUUCGAUGAACACAGUGGUAUUUUAAAAAAAAGCGAAGAAGGAGAUCUUACACGGUCGGAGCUUGUCCGACGAGACUUCCUUUUCCGGCGGUGGUUCAGUAACUCGGGUCUGGUUCAUUGCAGGUGAGGUGAUGAAGCAGCUGAGUUUAAUGGCUCAUUGAUUCAUUUAAUUGAUGCUGCAGCUUUUUCAAAUGGAAUACGAUACUGCAAAGAUCAAGCGUUUUUGUUUGAUCUAGACUCGAACGACCGAAGGUCUAGAAUUCGAUCCGAGCCAAGUGGGUGCAUAUAAGGCGGCAAAACCAUUCUAGUGUGCCUAUGUUUUUUGUUCACAAGACACAAACAUGAGACUGUGCUUAAGAAAAACCAUGCUCAUUGCCAAUUGGAUGCACAUAAGUUAUAAACUUUGAACACACCAAGAAUUGGCCUAUGGUUGUUGUGUUACAUUUCGUGAUUUCAAAAUACUAACCAUUCCAUGUGUUUAUUUGCAUAUUCAAAAUGUUAUGACCAUAUUAAUGCUCUCAUUCAUUUACCAGCAUGACAGAUGAUCGGGUCCUUAAAGCACGUGGUCAUGGGUUCGACCCCGGACUAAUGCAUAUGGAAGAACACUGUUGUGAGAGGUCAGCCCCUUAAAUAAUCUCCAUACUUCAAACGACGAGUCUUUAGGUCACUCGCUCAUUCAGUUUCGAGGAGACUGUAGAUAGCAAGAAACAAAAAUAGAAUUAAAAAGCAUAUAUGUCUAAUUGGUUUUCUGAAGUUACAAAUAAAAUGAAACAAAAUAUGUCAGAGUAAGAAAAACUACCAUAAUGACAGAAUUGGUAAUUAGAAGUAGUGAAAUUGUGAGGAUUGGUUAUUACUUUGAUUUCAGUGCAUUAUGAUGUGUGUUAUGUACAUAGAUAAGUAAAAGAUUGAUGAAUGAUCUAAGCUUUGAGUCCAAUUAUUGAUAAGUGAUUUACGGGCUGAUGAUGAUAUGAUAAGUGAUGAUGAUAUGAUUAGUUUAUUAUCUUUAGGGUCAUCUUUGUUAGGGUCUUAUGUGAGAAAGGGGGCCGGCAUUUUAUUUGAGCACUUAGCAUCCACACCUGCUUGGAUAUGAUACCUAAUUUUCCAAAGUUCACUUCUUAAAUAUAUGUAAUUUAGACUUCUCUUCUAGCACUUUAAGUAGUAAUUUCUUGAUUAUCUUUAUCGAGUCUUUUGCUCAUGGGCUUUUUCACAUUUGGUUGAUUGAUAUUGGUAAUGAUUACUUUGAUAGCAGGAUGUCAAUAGUAGCAAACCUUCUCAUCAAAAUAUGGUGGAAGCAAUUGAUUCUCUUUAUGCUUCUUGUUUCAAUUGAUAUUAUGAUUUAGGCUAUAUAUCUUCAUUUUGUUUAUUUUUCUAUGAUAUUAUUAUUCAGUUUGUUUAAUCCACCAAGAUUCCUUUUCCAAAUCUAUAGGAAAGAUGAAUUGUGAAUUCCAAUUCCAACCCACACUUCAACUAGGUUACUCAGUGAGAAUAAUAAAAACUAAGAAAUUUUCAAGGUAAAUGGUUAUAUUAUAUUUUUUUAAUCUACUGUCCAACCCACAUGCCAUUAACCAUACACAGGAUUAUAGGAUAUUUUAUUAGUAGUAGUAUUAUAAUGUUUACAGGGACUGAUAUUCUAUCAUUUUUGUUUUGCUCACAUACAUUUAUUCUACUCUAUGAAUUUAAUGUGUUUAAUUGUGUGUCGCUUCUCACAAUAUGCAUAGUUUCAUAACAUGUCUCUCACAUAAGACAUGAAGUAGACCCUGACCAAUUUCACGAUGAGCUGAAAAUUAAUUUUAAUUUAAAGAAUGGUGACUAAAAUAGUUGAGCUAUAACCCUUAGGUCAAGAGAGUAAGUCAACUCCUCAUAAAGGUAAUCCUUGACACCGCAUUUCUUCUAAAAAAAUCUAAAAGUUUAGCAAAGAUAAAGUAAAUACUUGCAUUGACUUUAAGAAAUUAUGUUGUACUAUUUCUUGAAGGAAUAUGGUUUUAUUAUAAGUUGAUAAUGCAUUAAUUGUUAUAGAAAUGACUGGAGGGAACAUGAAAAAGAGAUGUUGAGUUUUAUAAAUAGCUUAAUGAAGAUUACUCCAAUAGCUAACUCUGGAAAUUAUCUGCUCUAUUUCUUUAAAGAAUAUCUGCCCUGUUUCUUUGAAAAGUAAAUAUGAUAUCUCUAUUUAAAACCAAGUGUGUAAUUUUUGUUGUAUUACUUAGGGGAAUGUGGGACAAUUUGUU